GAAGUGCGAACCAAGCUGCGGCGACAACCGCGUAAGACUUGGAGCGGACGGCCGCAAGACCGUCCUGCA
rnacentral:ncRNA from 1 species